rnacentral:rRNA from 1 species
GAUGAACGCUAGCGGCAGGCUUAAUACAUGCAAGUCGUGGGGCAGCAUGGUGUAGCAAUACAUUGAUGGCGACCGGCAAACGGGUGCGGAACACGUACACAACCUUCCUUUUAGUGGGGAAUAGUCCAGAGAAAUUUGGAUUAAUACCACAUAACAUAUAGAGAUGGCAUUAUCCUACUAUUAAAGCUUCGGCGAUAGAAGAUGGGUGUGCGGCUGAUUAGGUAGUUGGCGGGGUAACAGCCCACCAAGCCUACGAUCAGUAGCUGAUGUGAGAGCAUGAUCAGCCACACUGGCACUGAGACACGGGCCCGACUCAUACGGGAGGCAGCAGUAAGGAAUAUUUGACAAUGGACGAAAGUCUGAUCCAGCCAUGCCGCGUGAAGGAUUAAGGUCCUCUGGAUUGUAAACUUCUUUUAUUUGGGACGAAAAAAGAUCAUUCUUGAUCACUUGACGGUACCAGAUGAAUAAGCACCGGCUAACUCCGUGCCAGCAGCCGCGGUAACAC